CUUAUCCAAGGUUUGGGACAUGGAUUGGAAGUAACAUUAAUUACGCAUAGAGAGAAGGUAUUGGUUGCUUCGCAUGGUUUGGCUGGCGAACUUUGGGAUCCAUCCAUAGACAUUUAUCUUCCUCGGCGGUAUUCUCUUAAUGAUAUUGAAGGGAAAUCACUUUGCAAAAGCUGUUUCAGUGAAAUCUCACGAAGCACAAGCCAUUUUUAGGUAGGAUGUAUCCGGAAGUUGAUUCAGUUAUUGACAAUCUUAAGAAAGCAGUUCAUAUUGCUCAGGGCAGAGGAUCCCAGGUAAUGGGAAACAAUGUGUCUGCCGUGAACUCAACUGUGCGCACAUCGAAUGAAUUAUAG